rnacentral:lncRNA from 1 species
UCCAGCCUACUGAAAUUUCAGGCGUGAAGAGAGUUGUUCAGGAGAAGAUGCCUGAAGGCGUGAAUGAUAAUGGACUUACCUUGACUGGGUUCCUUUUUCUGCAUGCCCUCUUUAUUGAAAAAGGUCGUCUGGAAACUACAUGGACUGUAUUGAGAAAAUUUGGUUAUGACAAUGACAUCAAGCUUAGGGAUGAACUCAUUGCAAUGCCAAUUAGAAGAGCUCCUGAUCAAGUAAUGUUUUGUUUGCUUUAUGAUCUAUAUCAAAAUCUUUCACUAUCAAUAUAACUUUUUUUUAUCUGUUUCUUUAUCCUUAUCCACAAUAUCCUUUUUGAUAACCAUCAUUGUGCACUUCCCUUGAGUUAAGGUUAAGGGAUUGCCAACAUCUAUUUGUAUUCGUGUGUUAAAACAUUUUUUUGUACUUUUGGUGCGUGAUAAAGCAAAUUUUAAGCUGAUUUGCUGUAGUGCUAUUUUUGUAUGUAGUUCACAGCCUUGCUAUACUCCAGUCGCUAGCAUACUUUUAUUAUUGCUUCAGUAGUGUUUUGGGAACUUCCAUUACUGGCUUCAUGCAGGAAUAUAUCCUCAUUGAUGGUGAAGUAAUGAACUCAGCUUUUUCUGCAGACACUGGAACUGACAGGUGAAGUGGUUGAUUUCUUGAGAGGGAUAUUCAACAUGUUUGACAUCGAUAAUGUAAGCUUAUCCCGAUAUGCAAUUGGCAUUUCAGUACUCAUUGUUAUUUGCAUUUUAAUUCUAAUAAUAUUUUAGUUAAAAAUAUAUCUGAUUUGAUUGAUCAAAAGAUACUUUUUUAUUUAUGUAUAUCCAGGAUGGUGCUUUACUACCUACUGAGCUGGAGGAUCUUUUUUCGACAGCACCUGAAAAGUAAGACACUAAUAGAUGGAUCAAUCAUUUUCUCCAUAUUGAUUGAAACCUUCUAGAAUGUUUGUUAAUGUUUAUCCAUAUAGAAAGGUGAUAAAAAAUCCUGUAUUCCUCUAAUGCCUUGGUAGAAUGUAUUGUCUCUUAUUAGACGGGCCUCUAUUCAUUCUUCUGUACUGUCAUUUUCCUUUGCGUCACCUUUUUUCUGUUGCAUAUUUCAGCCCAUGGUCUUCUGAUCCAUAUAAAGACUGUGCUGAAAAGAAUGUCUUGGGUGGUCUGUCACUCGAAGGGUUUCUUUCUAAGGUAUUUAUCUUACCUUAGCAUAAUAUUCUGACAUGCACAAUUUAUAACCCAAUGGUUAAAUGAUGGAUUUUAUUUGUGAAAUUACAUAUUUUUUGUGUGGACUCAACAUAAGAAAGCUGACUUACUUUCUCUAUUCAUAAGUUUUAAGGUGCAUUCUUAUAUAAUUUUUUUGUCUUAACAUUUUGGUGCAUUCUUAUGUACCAUUGACUCAGCUGCCCUUAUUGCUUUGAGAAGGCAAGGCCCAAAGAAAUGCGAUCUUUAAUUAUAUGAUUCUAUAAUCUACACGUUAUAAGUUGGGACACUCAUUAGCAAGAUUGUGAAUGAAUUAAAUUCUUGCUGUAAACGUGAGGGAUAUAGGAUAGGCAAGCUGAAGCAUGAUCAAUCAAAAUUUAAGUUGAAGUGUCGUGCUCUGUUAAUAAUGCUUUUUCUUGAAAGUGCAUGUAUUAUGGAACAGUACAUGUGGUACAGAAUGCUGGCAGCAUGGCAAUGUUUUUUAUUUUAAUUGCUUAGUAGACCAUGGUAUAUUGCUAUGAAUAGAAGCAUCUGGUAGUACUUAUGUGUUGCCCUUGCUGAAUAAGAAUUUUGCAAUGCAGUGGGCUCUUAUGACACUUCUAGAUCCGACAAAUAGUUAUGCCAACCUUGUAUAUGUUGGCUAUCCGGGCGAGUUUAGUUCAGCGUUUACUGUCACAAGGAAAAGACGAGUGGAUCGUAAGAAGCAACAGACACAGAGAAAUGUAUUCCAGUGUUAUGUUUUCGGUGCCAGAGGUUCUGGAAAGACAUCAUUGCUACAAUCCUUCAUUGGAAGGUACAUGCUGCAUUUCCUAUUAUUUUACCAUGCAGAUGUCCUAUAAUAAUUUGUUGUUUGGUCUUUGAUGCAUUCGUACUUGUAACAGGCAACCUUCUGAUGCUCUGCCAUCUAACACUGAACGGUUUGCAACAAAUUCUGUUGAACUGCCUGAUGUAUGUAUUUCGUUGACACACUAUGCAGAUAUAUUUCAAGUAUCUUUUCAACAACUUAAUUUCCAGUGUACUUGUGAAGAUAUCAACAGCAUGUCUUUUAAAAUGUAGUAUACUGCAUCCAGAUUGCAAUUGUUAAGCAUCCUAAUAGUUACAUCAUCUCCUUUGCCUAGGGUUGAUAAUAUUUUAGUGGAUUAUUUAUCUAUGUAGAUGUAGACUAGUUCUGAGUUGGUUUAGGUAGCUCUUGUAUGUUUUUGUCUGAUUGGUUUUAUUUAUUGAAGGGAACUAGAAAGACACUAAUACUGCGAGAAAUUCCUGAAGGUGAUGUGAGAUCCUUACUGUCUGAUAAGGAAUCAUUGGCGCCCUGCGAUGUAGCAGUCUUUGUUUACGAUAGGUACACACUCUUCUAGAAGCUAUUCUUUUAUUUAUUCAUAACCCUAUCGGUGGCAUGUUCAUUUCAUCGAGUAAGUUUAAAUCACAUAUAUUUUCUUCUUUAUAAGUUAAAUAGCAUAUAUUUUUCCAAUUGUACGUUUGUGCUAAGCUGGUUAGAUAGACGGCGAGUAUUGUGGUGAUAACUUGUAGUCCAUGAAAGUUCUAAUGUUUUUAAAAGGUUCACUUUGGUUGCCUCAGUGUCUGUUUUUACCAUUCUCUGCAUGGUGUCUUAUUUUGCCUAUAUUUUUAACUGGUGGUAGUUGGCUGAGAUUGUGUUGUUUUCAUGACCAAUUUGCCAAGAAAACCAAAUCUUUCUCACAGUUUAUUAUUAUUUUGAGAAAGUUACUUGAGUUAGGCAUGCUAUAUAUCUUAUUUCAUGUAAACGAAAUAGAAUAUUUUUCUAUCUAUAUCAAUUCAUUGUUGCAAGUGGAUUCUUAGGCAAACUGACUCUUUUUGACUGCCAGAUAUGCUCUUUGGUUUGGCUAUUAAUUACAGGUUAUGUGAGCCCUACUUCUGAAAGUUGGUAAUUGAGAUCAUAAUUAACAGGCCAGCCUUGAAACUCUUGUGACAGCCAUUAUUGUCACUCUUGACUUGAAAUCUGAUUGUAGAAUGUAACACAACAUUUGAGGACUUCCAAAAGUUUGACAAAUAAUCUUGUUUAUACUGCUACAUCAGACUUGAAUUACAUAAAUUUACCUACUGUACUUAUUGCUAAAUAGCCUGACUCAUAACUUGCUGUAUUGGCAGCUGUGAUGAAUAUUCUUGGCAUAGAGCAAGAGACUUGCUUGUGCAGGUGGCUACACAUGGAGAAAAUACUGGCUAUGAAGUUCCUUGCCUGAUAGUUGCUUCGAAAGAUGAUCUUGACCAAUGUCCACAAGCUCUACAAGAGUCAACUAGAGUAAGUGUUUUAGCAUUUAAUUCUAUAGGCAUAGUUGGCCAGUUGAACCCAGAUUAGAUAUUGGGAUCAGUUUCUUACUUAUUCAUUGUACUCCAUUGUAAUUUUAUCCUAGGUAUUAUGUGACUUGUAAUGUUCUCCUAGGUAUUUGGUUUACCAAAAAACCCAUAUGAAUCAUAGAAAAAUGAGCAUUAGAAUGAUACGUCUGUGCUAGUGCCACAUUUAUGCAGCAAAAAAAGGGCCUUGCAGAACUUUAUUUUUUAUUUAGUUUUGUAGUAGCUCUAGUAACACAGUAACUUACCCAAACUAAAGGCUGUUCUAUCUGAAAUUGGUUCUAUUGUGUCAACAAGCUCCUGGGUUUUAUCCUCAGAUCUUUUUUUGAACAGUUCUGUGCCAUUUUUAAUUAAUUCUUUCCAAAAAAAUACACAUCCUGCAACUAAUUGGAGUAUGAAGUGGCAUAGUGGUUAAAAAGUUGAAAUAUUUCUAUAUAGCGCGUGUUGGAUUGUUAAAUCAUUUCUUGGGUCAUUUAUUGUCGAUUUGCAAAAAUAUGUAUCUUGUCACUUCGUGCUGCAAGUGAUAGCUGUUAUUUUGAUGUUGCCCACACUUAUCUGUAGUCCCUGUCGAAGUCGCAUCUAUGGGACGGUGGAUUAUUUGUGCUAUUUUGUUGACAGUCUUGACUGGUUUUGUCUCUAUGGAAUGGAAGCCAUCUUAUUUAUAUGCCAAAAGAUGUAACUGCAAAAAUAUCUACUUUUCAGGUGAGCCAGGACAUGGGAAUUGAAACACCAAUUCCGAUCAGUGUGAGGUUGAGAGAUUUGAACAACAUUUUCUGCAGAGUAGUUCAUGCAGCCCAACAGCCCCAUUUGAGCAUUCCAGAGACUGAAGCUGGAAAAACACGCCGGCAAUAUCGUCAACUUCUAAACCGUUCCCUCAUGGUUGUCUCUGGUGAGUCACACACUCUUUUCUUGUCUAUUAUUGAAUUAAGAACAAUAUACCAAGCAUUAUCAUUGUAAGAGUAUGGGUGCCAUUGUUAGAAAUCCACCUUGCUGCUGAUGCUUAUUGAAGUUUUAUUGGUUCUAACUCUAGCUCCUAAUAAAUUUGCAGUUGGAGCUGCUGUUGCAGUUGUGGGAGUAGCUGCGUACAGGGUUUAUGCAGCUCGGAAGAACUCGUCCUCUUGAAGUCCUCCGAUACAGUGGGGGAAAUAAGGCGCUUCCCACAGCUCAACCUUGCAACAUCAGCUUGAUCCAUGCUUGUUGAGCAUCGCUGCUUGGGCUUUUAUGCUGGCAAGAAACCAACAUUUUGUACAGACCUGUCACCAGCUAUAAAUUGUGCGGCCUAUUGGGGGUUUCAGAUUCACGACUUCAUCUGGCUCCAUAAAAUGCCAUAUCUGACACUCUGUUGUGGCUAAAUUAGCUCAGCUAAAUAUUCUUUCUACUAUAAUUUUUUGUUCUCUUGGUACUUGCACUAGUCUGCUGAUGGAAUUCGGUUUCAUUUCAAACAUGCUGAUUUCUUGAACUUUUAGUUGAAACAGCAUGAGUUGGUGUUGUACCAAGUUUCCGUUUGGUUCGAAUUUGAUCAAGUAAAUGGUAGCACGCUACUUUCGUCUUCUUGUUAUCCACUGCCACUAGAGUUACUAUGGUUUUAUAUGUUGAACGGUUUUGAUUUUGAUUGACGAUCCCUGAUUAAGUGGGCGCUAUUGAUGAUUCGCCCAAGUCUGUCGAAUGAAAGUGUAAUAUUCGUGCUCAUCGAGUUCUCAACUCAAUCCUCGCCACCUUUUUCUUACGUUCGGCAUCGGUUCUGAACUAUUUAGAAAUCAAUCCCUAUGGCCUUUUUCUGAAAAUAACUUUGUGACACAUGGGAUAAAAAUGCUAAAUGAUUUUACACUAUCUGAGCAUGGCUCGCACAAACAACAAAAGAGCACAUCCGUAUCUCAAAAAGAAAAAGAUUUUAUUGGUCUAUUUAUCUACAUCGACCAUGAGACAAUCCGAGAGGUUGGCUUCCUGUUCGAUAUGCAGCACGUAUCACUGUAACACCGGUGAGAUUCAAAUCGAGAAGCAAGAAAGGCACACGGAACACAAUACAUCAUAUGAAUCAAACUGAAGAGAAGUGUAGAACCACGCCCAAAUCACUGUAACACCACCAAUCCCAAUUCUAUGCACAAAAGUCAUGCUUCGUCCUUGCAGAGGAGAAACAGUAGAAAGGGAGUGAGCUGAUCACCUACGGAAGGGACACCGCUGGAGGGCUAGCUAACAUGGAGACGCCGACAGCAGCAUCCCCGUCAGGCGAUAUGCAAGUGGCCGAUCUCGCCGGUCCGGGCGGCGCGGGCGACGGCGGUGGCGGCGGACAGGCACGUCGACACCCACUCCGCCAGCAGCUCCCACACCAUGUCCACCAAGGACACGGCCAUCGCCCAUGGCAUUGACAUCCUCCUGCCCCGGCUGCCCGCCCGCGGAGCCGCCAAGCGGCCGAGCCGGCGUCUCUGGCGCUCUCGGCUACCUCUCUCUGGCAGCGCCGGCCGCUUGUUUACGUGUCCCAGGAGGCAAUCGACCGGAGACGGGAGAACACCUUCCGUGCAUGGACCAGCAAGAUAGCGGUGGACCGGGGGGACCUCACGAGUUCCGCGGGGAUGGUCUGGAAAAAAAAAAAAAGGAUCGGAUCGCCCUGGGCACGUCACGGCAGCUGCUGUCCGUGCUGGUUGGCCUUGGAUGGGACGGGGAUUUAAUGAAGAAAACGAAGCGAUUAAACGGAGAUCAACGCGUAUUUGCUGUGUAUAGUAUCUUUUAGCAGUAGCAUAUUUUACUGGCUAAAUAUUCUGAAAUGCAAAGCAAUUGCCAGGAAUAUUUACGUGUAGCACAUAACCCAGCAGCAGCCUCUGCACACAAGCAUGAUUAGCUAGACGGAUAAGACCGGAUUAAUGAAUAGGCAGAGGAAGGAGAGGGUGUUUACUUGUGGUUUCUUCCUUGCUGCUACGGCAGUCACGUUUUCACUAUUUAGAAUUCUCUCCUCCGGACGGAUGGAAUUCUCUCGAGAGUUGGGCCAUGUUUAGCCCUUGUUUACUCCAAACUCCCAACUUUGACA